rnacentral:rRNA from 1 species
CCGAAUAGGGGAGCCGGAGGGAAACCGAGUCUUAACCGGGCGUUAAGUUGCAGGGUAUAGACCCGAAACCCGGUGAUCUAGCCAUGGGCAGGUUGAAGGUUGGGUAACACUAACUGGAGGACCGAACCGACUAAUGUUGAAAAAUUAGCGGAUGACCUGUGGCUGGGGGUGAAAGGCCAAUCAAACCGGGAGAUAGCUGGUUCUCCCCGAAAGCUAUUUAGGUAGCGCCUCGUGAAUUCAUCUCCGGGGGUAGAGCACUGUUUCGGCUAGGGGGCCAUCCCGGCUUACCAACCCGAUGCAAACUGCGAAUACCGGAGAAUGUUAUCACGGGAGACACACGGCGGGUGCUAACGUCCGUCGUGAAGAGGGAAACAACCCAGACCGCCAGCUAAGGUCCCAAAGUCAUGGUUAAGUGGGAAACGAUGUGGGAAGGCCCAGACAGCCAGGAUGUUGGCUUAGAAGCAGCCAUCAUUUAAAGAAAGCGUAAUAGCUCACUGGUCGAGUCGGCCUGCGCGGAAGAUGUAACGGGGCUAAACCAU